UUUUAUGGAGAGUUUGAUCCUGGCUCAGGAUGAACGCUGGCGGCGUGCCUAAUACAUGCAAGUCGAGCGAACGGACGAGAAGCUUGCUUCUCUGAUGUUAGCGGCGGACGGGUGAGUAACACGUGGAUAACCUACCUAUAAGACUGGGAUAACUUCGGGAAACCGGAGCUAAUACCGGAUGAUAUUUUGAACCGCAUGGUUCAAAAGUGAAAGACGGUCUUGCUGUCACUUAUAGAUGGAUCCGCGCUGCAUUAGCUAGUUGGUAAGGUAACGGCUUACCAAGGCAACGAUGCAUAGCCGACCUGAGAGGGUGAUCGGCCACACUGGAACUGAGACACGGUCCAGACUCCUACGGGAGGCAGCAGUAGGGAAUCUUCCGCAAUGGGCGAAAGCCUGACGGAGCAACGCCGCGUGAGUGAUGAAGGUCUUCGGAUCGUAAAACUCUGUUAUUAGGGAAGAACAUAUGUGUAAGUAACUGUGCACAUCUUGACGGUACCUAAUCAGAAAGCCACGGCUAACUACGUGCCAGCAGCCGCGGUAAUACGUAGGUGGCAAGCGUUAUCCGGAAUUAUUGGGCGUAAAGCGCGCGUAGGCGGUUUUUUAAGUCUGAUGUGAAAGCCCACGGCUCAACCGUGGAGGGUCAUUGGAAACUGGAAAACUUGAGUGCAGAAGAGGAAAGUGGAAUUCCAUGUGUAGCGGUGAAAUGCGCAGAGAUAUGGAGGAACACCAGUGGCGAAGGCGACUUUCUGGUCUGUAACUGACGCUGAUGUGCGAAAGCGUGGGGAUCAAACAGGAUUAGAUACCCUGGUAGUCCACGCCGUAAACGAUGAGUGCUAAGUGUUAGGGGGUUUCCGCCCCUUAGUGCUGCAGCUAACGCAUUAAGCACUCCGCCUGGGGAGUACGACCGCAAGGUUGAAACUCAAAGGAAUUGACGGGGACCCGCACAAGCGGUGGAGCAUGUGGUUUAAUUCGAAGCAACGCGAAGAACCUUACCAAAUCUUGACAUCCUUUGACAACUCUAGAGAUAGAGCCUUCCCCUUCGGGGGACAAAGUGACAGGUGGUGCAUGGUUGUCGUCAGCUCGUGUCGUGAGAUGUUGGGUUAAGUCCCGCAACGAGCGCAACCCUUAAGCUUAGUUGCCAUCAUUAAGUUGGGCACUCUAAGUUGACUGCCGGUGACAAACCGGAGGAAGGUGGGGAUGACGUCAAAUCAUCAUGCCCCUUAUGAUUUGGGCUACACACGUGCUACAAUGGACAAUACAAAGGGCAGCGAAACCGCGAGGUCAAGCAAAUCCCAUAAAGUUGUUCUCAGUUCGGAUUGUAGUCUGCAACUCGACUACAUGAAGCUGGAAUCGCUAGUAAUCGUAGAUCAGCAUGCUACGGUGAAUACGUUCCCGGGUCUUGUACACACCGCCCGUCACACCACGAGAGUUUGUAACACCCGAAGCCGGUGGAGUAACCUUUUAGGAGCUAGCCGUCGAAGGUGGGACAAAUGAUUGGGGUGAAGUCGUAACAAGGUAGCCGUAUCGGAAGGUGCGGCUGGAUCACCUCCUUUCU
rnacentral:rRNA from 4 species